rnacentral:siRNA from 1 species
AGUGUUAGUGCUUUGACCACAGA